rnacentral:piRNA from 1 species
UGAAGAGUAAGGAUGUUGGUGUGUGCCAC